rnacentral:rRNA from 1 species
GUCCAGACUCCUACGGGAGGCAGCAGUGGGGGAUAUUGCACAAUGGGGGGAACCCUGAUGCAGCGACGCCGCGUGGGUGAAGAAGCGCCUCGGCGCGUAAAGCCCUGUCAGCAGGGAAGAAAAUGACGGUACCUGAAGAAGAAGCCCCGGCUAACUACGUGCCAGCAGCCGCGGUAAUACGUAGGGGGCAAGCGUUAUCCGGAUUUACUGGGUGUAAAGGGGGCGCAGACGGCGAUGCAAGCCAGGAGUGAAAGCCCGGGGCCCAACCCCGGGACUGCUCUGGAAACUGCGGCGCUGGAGUACGGGAGGGGCAGGCGGAAUUCCUGGUGGAGCGGUGAAAUGCGUAGAUAUUAGGAGGAACACCAGUGGCGAAGGCGGCCUGCUGGACGACAACUGACGGUGAGGCGCGAAAGCGUGGGGAGCAAACAGGAUUAGAUACCCUUGUACAC